GUCAGAGCGGAGCAGGUACUAGGAAUUUUUGGCUGGAAAAGGAGAGAGGAAGUAAUCCUCCAGCAUCAUCCCAGCUGAGGUGAGAGCAGUUCCUCGGCAGACAGCAGGACAGUGGUUCCUUCUGCUGUCACUUUGUUCUCCCAUCCAGAGGGAGAGGGACAGAGUGUGCUGGGAUAGCAUGGAGAAAUGGGGAGAGCCAACAGCUGGAAUAGCACGGAGAAAUACUCAGACAACGGCAGGCAGGUUACCUGUGUUCAGAGAGCUGCAGGGCUGGGUGAGAGUCUUCUUCCUGGCCAAACUUGGAGGGGUUUAACAUACUAUGCAAUUAAAUGCUGAGAAGACUGUUACAUCGCUUUAUUCCUACUUUGCAUCCUAACGGGUAAAGAACUGGGCAACCUGCAGAAACCCACAGGGAGAGGGUAGGUUUUGCUGAGGUUUCCAUGUCUGCAGCCUGUGGGUACCCCAGUUCCUUGACUUUGUACCUUGAGCUUUAACGGGCACGGUGCCAUUGCUUUCGGAGUGCUUCAGGACCCGUGUUUCUUUGGAAGACCACUUGUUAAGUGAUCUCUGCAAUGCACUGAUAGCCCACAGGUUCCUAAAGGGACAAGCAUCUGUUUCCUAAAGGCUGCUGUCGCAUUUCUCGCCAGUCUGGUACUCUUGUUACAGUCAGGAUUUGUUUGUUUAGUGACAGUAUCGAACACACAUGUCACUGAGCAGUGCCACGCAACGAUUUUCCUUAAGUAUGGAGCUCUGUGUAAGCUGUCAUGCAAGCAUGCUUCACUUCAAUGGUCCUAUAAGAGGAGGCAUCGAUGGAGGCAGCCAGGAGAGCCGCAGCAACAUUGAGGUCAGUUUGACAAAUGCAGUGCAGAGAGAUCUCCUGCUCCUCAAUGCUGACAAUCACACACAGGCAGCGGUGCUCCUGCUCGUUUCACUUCUGAGAUCCCACUUUUGUUGGGACCCCUGCUAAUGUAGUGUCCAAGUUUGGGAUUUUUGAGGGAGGCCGAGGGGGUUGAUGGCCCUAUUUCCCCCUUGUCUCGGUCAGUUUAUCCCUUCCCUUGUCUUUGCACUCUGCACAGGUAAGCACACAUCUGUGUAUCCACGUGUUAAUUGUGAAAGAACAAGUGCCCAGUUGAUACUCCUUCCCACUGCCACCCUGAAAAGGUCAAAGAAGGAUCGAUUAUAUGUAGAUCCACAUAUAUAUAUGGCUUAUAUAUGAAUAUGUAUGAAAUGGCUGAAAGCAGCUGAUUUUGUACAGUUUUGCCGAAAAUCAGAAUGUUGGAGAUGAAUACAAAAGCUU
rnacentral:lncRNA from 7 species